CCCUGUCAGUGCUGCCAAAUAAGUAUUCCUUUGUUCUCUGCCACACUGUCAAAUAUGUAGGCAUUCAGGAGAAAUGUCUGGAAACCAGCUAACAUGAGGCAGUUACGGUGGCCCAUCAGAGAGCGUUAAGAGAAGAUUUUCCUCCCAGAUUCUCUAAGGACCCAUUGGCCUCUGCUGAUUUAGUGUCACUGCUUGAAGCCAUCAUUACUCCUAGUGACCUUUCAUCUUUGUGGCUGCUUUUUGUGAGGAGGGCCUAAACAUGACUCUCUUGAUUGUAAGCUUUAUUCAGGCAGAGAAACCGAGCCUUGAAGAUACUAUCAACAUGCCUACGUUUACAGAGAAAGCAACCCUGGAUUGUGGCUGACUCCAAAGUCAGUUUGCCAGCGUGCAGUUCAAGUGAAUCUGCCAAUUCUCGGGAACCUUUGUGAUACCGCUCUCUGGAGAUGCCACUUCCUUUCAGUGGUGCAUCUAGUCAGCUCCCCUGCGCUGGGCUCCAGCAACAUUAAGGGAUGCUGUUCCACCUGAGUAUACAUUUCAAGACUGUGUCUUCCUUGCCCAUCGUUGGGUGGCCUGCACAGUUCCUGGCCCGGAGUGAAUGUGUAGUUUUGAAAUGAGAACCAAAUGAGGCUGCUUUUGCUCUCGACACGCCAGGUCUUCACACACUCCCAGCACCCAGGGCUGUGUGGCCAGUCUCAGAUCCGGAGCAGGUGAUGUGCGUGGGCCUGUGACUAACAGAGCCACACGACGCAGGAGGGAGGCAGCCUGGAAAGCCA